rnacentral:rRNA from 1 species
CCUAGCCCUUCAGAGGGGGACAACAGUUGGAAACGACUGCUAAUACCGCAUACGAUCUGACCUCGGCAUCGAGGGUGGAUGAAAGGUGGCCUCUAUUUAUAAGCUAUCACUGAAGGAGGGGAUUGCGUCUGAUUAGCUAGUUGGAGGGGUAACGGCCCACCAAGGCGAUGAUCAGUAGCCGGUCUGAGAGGAUGAACGGCCACAUUGGGACUGAGACACGGCCCAG